rnacentral:rRNA from 1 species
GAUGAACGCUGGCGGCGUGCCUAACACAUGCAAGUCGAACGGAAGGACGAUAAGCUUGUGGGUUUGAUGUUAGCGGAGGGCGGGAGAGUAACGCGUGUAUCACCUACUUAUAUUUCGGGGAAAAUUACGGGAAACCGGAUAUAAUAGGAGAGGAUAUGUUGAACCGCAGGGUGCAAUGGAGAAUGACGGCCUUGGGGUCUGUACUAGCUGGUUACGGGCUGGAUUGGCUAGUCGGUAAGGUCACGGCAUAGCAAGGCAACGAAGCGUAGCCGAGCGGAGAGGCUGAUCGGCCACACUGGAGCUGAGCCACGGUCCAGGCUCCUACGGGAGGCAGCAGUGUGGUAUCUUCGGCAAUGGGCGGAAGCCUGACGCAGCGAGCCCGCGUGAGUUAUGAAGGCCUUCCGUUCGUAAAGCCCUGUUUUUGGUUAAGAACAGCUGUGGAAUGAGCCGAGGCCUUCUUGACGGUACCGAAUCAAAAAGCCCCGGCUAACUACGUG